AUAGUGGUACGCUCAAAUAUACAAACAUUCUUAUUUUUACUAUGCCAUAAAAUAGUCACCAUAACCAUUUUUGUCGAUACAUAUUUGUUACUUAAUGUUUAUCUAGUUGCUUAGAAGUGGAACUGCUGAGAUUUAACAGGUGUUAUUACCAACUCAACAUUGACGAUUCCAAGAACAAAACCAUGUCGGAGUGCAUGGCGUAAUUCACCCCACGCAGGACGACUCACUGAGGGCAUUCAAACCGGAGAAUGGUUUCAUAACGGCCGCGCAUGAUUGUAGGGAAACGAUCUACAAUUACGAAUGGCCGCGACGUGAUCCACGCCAAUGACAUCCCGGUCGCACCUCAGGACAUGGGGGCAAACCUGAGCUAGGAGAACAUCGUUUCGAACGCCAACCUGAUUGAAAUGAACUCCCGCACUAACUGGGCGAGCUACCAAACCCAGCUAACCCCGUUACCGCCAAUCAAAGACAAUGCCUUUGCUCCAAGGGGAUUUUAGGGCAUACUCCCUCACCAUAAGAAGCUUCCGGAAACUGUGCCAUCCAGUCUAGAAAAAGAGUUUCUAUCGACUUUCGUGUAAAAGAGCCUAUAUCAACAGGAACAUCAAUAUCUGCACGAAUUUUAUCUUUUUAGAUCAAAACUGACCGCAAGAAUAGAAUCCAUGAUUGUCACGAGCAAGCCAUCAAGAAACCGCUAAACCAACGAUGACAAUAAUCGCUUUGGAUCCAGAAUCAUGAUUCAUAUGAUUCAUGUAUUGUAAACGAUAAUUCGAAUAAAAAAUAUCAAUGCUGAUAA